GAUGAACGCUGGCGGCGUGCUUAACACAUGCAAGUCGAACGAUGAAGCCCAGCUUGCUGGGUGGAUUAGUGGCGAACGGGUGAGUAACACGUGAGCAACCUGCCCCUGACUCUGGGAUAAGCGCUGGAAACGGCGUCUAAUACUGGAUACGAGUAGCGAUCGCAUGGUCAGUUACUGGAAAGAUUUUUUGGUUGGGGAUGGGCUCGCGGCCUAUCAGCUUGUUGGUGAGGUAAUGGCUCACCAAGGCGUCGACGGGUAGCCGGCCUGAGAGGGUGACCGGCCACGCGGGGACUGAGACACGGCCCAGACUCCUACAGGAGGCAGCAGCGGGGAAUAUUGCGCAAUGGGCGGAAGCCUGAUGCAGCAACGCCGCGUGAGGGAUGACGGCCUUCGGGUUGUAAACCUCUUUUAGCAGGGAAGAAGCGAGAGUGACGGUACCUGCAGAAAAAGCGCCGGCUAACUACGUGCCAGCAGCCGCCGUAAGAC
rnacentral:rRNA from 1 species